rnacentral:other from 1 species
GCGGCGCCGGGCGUCCGCGCUCGGCGAGGGUCACAAC